GACGAACGCUGGCGGCGUGCUUAACACAUGCAAGUCGAGCGGAAAGACCCUGCUUUUGUGGGGUGCUCGAGUGGCGAACGGGUGAGUAACACGUGAGUAACCUGCCCUUGACUGUGGGAUAUCUUCAGGAAACUGGGGCUACUACCGGCUAGGAGAUCCUGCAGCAUGGGGGGGGUUGGAAAGUUUAGGCGGUUGUGGAUGGACUCGCGGCUUAUCAGCUUGUUGGUGGGGUAGUGGCUUACCAGGGCUUUGACGGGUAGCCGGCCUGGGAGGGUGACCGGCGACAUUGGUACUGAGGUACGCACCAGACUCCUACGUGAGGCAGCAGGGGAGAAUAUGGCACAAUGGGCGGAAGCCUGAUGCAGCAACGCCGCGUGCGGGAUGACGGCCUUCUGGUGGUAAACCGCUUUCGCCUGUGACGAAGCGGGAGUGACGGUAAUGGGUAAAGAAGCACCGGCUAACUACGUG
rnacentral:rRNA from 1 species